UAACCUACUUAGUGAUAAGUAGCUGAGCCAUCAGAAGUCAGCAGAGGUCAUAGUACGAAUUGGUC
rfam:Bacillus sp. X1(2014), complete genome.